AUUGUUGAAAGCCUUACGGAGACCUUUAGUUGUUAAUUUCUAUGUGAUUUGGUUUCUUAUGGAAAGUUAUCUCAUUGGCAAUCAUACCACAUCUUCUUUUUAAUAUGUAAAUAGGAAAAUGCAAUACUUUUACUUAGGAGUAUAUUUCGUCCACUUUGUCCGGCCGUGCGUCUGUUCCUUCCUCCGACAAACACUGUACAUAACCACUUUCGGAUAAUGUUUCCUCUUAAGCAAAAGAAGCAAUGUUAGCAAAUAGCAUAG
rnacentral:lncRNA from 1 species